UGUUUUCUUGACUUCCAUCUUCUUCUCCAUUGUUGUUUUCUUGAUUUCCAUCCUCUUCUUCUUCAUCGGGAUCAGAUUCUUGAUUACUAUUCUGUUGAUUUCCAUGGUCUCCGCUUUUUCCUUGUUCCAAUUCUUGAUUCUCAUUCUGUCCAUCAAGCUCCCUCUGCCCUUCUGCUUCUUCUUCAUCAGUACAUAAUCGCUCACAUUCAUUCAACUCAAAGCCAGCGCAGUUCGUCGAACAUUCAUCCGACAUAAGACCUUUAUCUUCUUCUUCUUCU
rnacentral:lncRNA from 1 species